rnacentral:rRNA from 1 species
AAAAUUAGAGUGUUCAAAGCAGGCAGAUUCAAUUUUCUGCCACCGAAUACAUUAGCAUGGGAUAAUGGAAUAGGACCCUGUCCUCCUAUUUUCAGUUGGUUUUGGCAGCGCGAGGACUAGGGUAAUGAUUAAUAGGGAUAGUUGGGGGCAUUAAUAUUUAAUUGUCAGAGGUGAAAUUCUUGGAUUUAUGAAAGAUUAACUUCUGCGAAAGCAUCUGCCAAGGAUGUUUUCAUUAAUCAAGAACGAAAGUUAGGGGAUCGAAGACGAUCAGAUACCGUCGUAGUCUUAACCAUAAACGAUGCCGACCAGCGAUUAGGAGACGUUGAAUACAAAACACCACCAUCGGCGCGGUCGUCCUUGGCGUUCGUGUUCACGCACGAGCGCGAGGGCGGUUUAGCCCGAUGGCACCGGUGAAU